rnacentral:sRNA from 1 species
CGUUGCGGGUAGCAAAUCCGCAACGGGUGAGGUCGGCACAGCAUACACCGACAGGGCGGGAAUG